GGGAUGUGAUGAGUGGUCAGCUCUCGCAAUAGUAAAAGAUGCGAGAAGGGUGUCACAGCCCAUGCCUGGUUACGACAACCAUGGGCACUCUCAUCUUGAACCAAUCUGAUCCC